AUGACGUUGGGAACGCGAGCGGCGGAUGGGUGAGUAACACGUGGGGAACCUGCCCCAUAGUCUGGGAUACCACUUGGAAACACGUGCUAAUACCGGAUAAGAAAGCAGAUCGCAUGAUCAGCUUAUAAAAGGCGGCGUAAGCUGUCGCUAUGAGAUGGCCCCGCGGUGCAUUAGCUAGUUGGUAGGGUAACGGCCUACCAAGGCAAUGAUGCAUAGCCGAGUUGAGAGACUGAUCGGCCACAUUGGGACUGAGACACGGCCCAAACUCCUACGGGAGGCAGCAGUAGGGAAUCUUCCACAAUGGACGAAAGUCUGAUGGAGCAACGCCGCGUGAGUGAAGAAGGUUUUCGGAUCGUAAAGCUCUGUUGUUGGUGAAGAAGGAUAGAGGUAGUAACUGGCCUUUAUUUGACGGUAAUCAACCAGAAAGUCACGGCUAACUACGUGCCAGCAGCCGCGGUAAUACGUAGGUGGCAAGCGUUGUCCGGAUUUAUUGGGCGUAAAGCGAGCGCAGGCGGAAGAAUAAGUCUGAUGUGAAAGCCCUCGGCUUAACCGAGGAACUGCAUCGGAAACUGGUUUUCUUGAGUGCAGAAGAGGAGAGUGGAACUCCAUGUGUAGCGGUGGAAUGCGUAGAUAUAUGGAAGAACACCAGUGGCGAAGGCGGCUCUCUGGUCUGCAACUGACGCUGAGGCUCGAAAGCAUGGGUAGCGAACAGGAUUAGAUACCCUGGUAGUCCAUGCCGUAAACGAUGAGUGCUAAGUGUUGGGAGGUUUCCGCCUCUCAGUGCUGCAGCUAACGCAUUAAGCACUCCGCCUGGGGAGUACGACCGCAAGGUUGAAACUCAAAGGAAUUGACUGGGGCCCGCACAAGCGGUGGAGCAUGUGGUUUAAUUCGAAGCAACGCGAAGAACCUUACCAGGUCUUGACAUCUAGUGCAAUCCGUAGAGAUACAUUUCCCUUCGGGGACACUAAGACAGGUGGUGCAUGGCUGUCGUCAGCUCGUGUCGUGAGAUGUUGGGUUAAGUCCCGCAACGAGCGCAACCCUUGUCAUUAGUUGCCAGCAUUAAGUUGGGCACUCUAAUGAGACUGCCGGUGACAAACCGGAGGAAGGUGGGGAUGACGUCAAGUCAUCAUGCCCCUUAUGACCUGGGCUACACACGUGCUACAAUGGACAGUACAACGAGGAGCAAGCCUGCGAAGGCAAUCGAAUCUCUUAAAGCUGUUCUCAGUUCGGACUGCAGUCUGCAACUCGACUGCACGAAGCUGGAAUCGCUAGUAAUCGCGGAUCAGCACGCCGCGGUGAAUACGUUCCCGGGCCUUGUACACACCGCCCGUCACACCAUGGGAGUCUGCAAUGCCCAAAGCCGGUG
rnacentral:rRNA from 1 species